rnacentral:lncRNA from 1 species
UCCGAGGCUCGCGCCGGAGGCGGGGCAUCGCCGCGCCGGCCGCCAACGGCCACUGCAACGGUCCCUACCGGGGAGGGCCGGCUUUUGCCGGCUUCCGGAGAAGGGAGGAAAGAGAGAGGGAAUAAAAUGAGUAACGCUGACUGGCAACAGUGCAUCCUGAGGGAGCCUGGAGAAACAACAGCAGCCUCCGACCUCAAGAUAUCCUGGUAGUGCUGUGACAGUGUCUUAAGUAGGGCAUGUUGAUAGAUGGAAAAGGACGGCAAACUCGAGGUGCUGAUUCAGGAAGAAGCAGAUUCCAAGAUGGAAGAGAAAAUAUCGAGAGAAAUAUGCCGAGAGAAGAAUCCAGGCAGAAUGGAAUCCAGGCAGAAUGGUGAAUGGAAGGUUCGGGUGACCAAGAGAAAGGAAGGGUGACUCAGCAAGUCUGUAGUUUCAGCUCUUGUAUAGUACGUUAUACUUGAAAAGCUGAAGCCUUUUCUCGGGGAAGAGUCAGAACGGCCUGGAGGGCUUGCUAAAGCGCUGCUGGCUGGGCCCCGCCCGCUGAAUGACUAAUGGAGACUCUGAGGGCCGGCUGGUAAUUUGAGUUUCUAACAAGCCCUGUUUCGAUGCUGGUACAGCCGAUCUAGGGAAAAUAUUGGAACAAGGAAAAAACUAAGAAGAAAUUUUAAAAAGUAAUCAAAGGCGGCCAAGUGAGGUGGCUCACGCCUGUGAUCC